rnacentral:lncRNA from 1 species
UUUUUUCGAACAUCGCUUGCAUAAGCGGAAAAAGAAGGAAAUAAAGAGGAUUUUUUUUUUCUUUUGUUGAUAUCAGAGGAGUGGAAGAGUUUGGGGGACGGUCUGACGGUUUCCGAGUCACGCGAUCUCCUCCGGCGGAGGGAGGUUGAGGUCGAAAGCGAAAGGGAACGUCUUCGCCUGCGGCGGAGGAGAGCGAUAGUCCGGGUGGAGAUCUACGACGGAGGAGGAGUCGGAGUCGCUCUGCACGGCGACGGCGGGCGGCGGCUGGAAGCAGGCGACGAACAUCGGCGGGCAAAGGGCCAGCUGGCGGUUAUUCGUGGCCGACUUUGCGUCCAGGAAAAAGAACUGCUGGGCCGACGGGGCGGCGGUUGGGUAUGACUGAAAGGGGAAGCGACCGCCGGUUCCGCCGCGGUAGAGGAGGCCCAGAUCGAGGGAGGGUGGG